AGUCGAGGGGCAGCAUGAACUAGCAAUAGUUUGAUGGCGACCGGCAAACGGGUGCGGAACACGUACACAACCUUCCUUUAAGUGGGGAAUAGCCCAGAGAAAUUUGGAUUAAUACCCCGUAACACAACGAAGUGGCAUCACUUUGUUGUUAUAGUUUCGGCGCUUAAUGAUGGGUGUGCGUAUGAUUAGAUAGUUGGCGAGGUAACGGCUCACCAAGUCUACGAUCAUUAGCUGAUGUGAGAGCAUGAUCAGCCACACGGGCACUGAGACACGGGCCCGACUCCUACGGGAGGCAGCAGUAAGGAAUAUUGGUCAAUGGACGCAAGUCUGAACCAGCCAUGCCGCGUGAAGGAUUAAGGUCCUCUGGAUUGUAAACUUCUUUUAUAUGGGACGAAAAAAGGUCUUUCUAGACCCCUUGACGGUACCAUAUGAAUAAGCACCGGCUAACUCCGUGCCAGCAGCCGCGGUAAUACGGAGGGUGCAAGCGUUAUCCGGAUUCACUGGGUUUAAAGGGUGCGUAGGCGGGCAGGUAAGUCAGUGGUGAAAGCCUGGAGCUCAACUCCAGAACUGCCAUUGAUACUAUCUGUCUUGAAUAUUGUGGAGGUAAGCGGAAUAUGUCAUGUAGCGGUGAAAUGCUUAGAUAUGACAUAGAACACCCAUUGCGAAGGCAGCUUACUACGCAUAUAUUGACGCUGAGGCACGAAAGCGUGGGGAUCAAACAGGAUUAGAUACCCUGGUAGUCCACGCCCUAAACGAUGGAUACUCGACAUACGCGAUACACUGUGUGUGUCUGAGCGAAAGCAUUAAGUAUCCCACCUGGGAAGUACGUUCGCA
rnacentral:rRNA from 1 species